UACAGAGGUCUCAAGCGUUUGUUCGGAUUCAUUGGGCGUAAAGGGUGCGUAGGCGGCGCGGUAAGUCGGGGUGUGAAAUCUCGGAGCUUAACUCCGAAACUGCAUUCGAUACUGCCGUGCUUGAGGACUGGAGAGGAGACUGGAAUUUACGGUGUAGCGGUGAAAUGCGUAGAUAUCGUAAGGAAGACCAGUGGCGAAGGCGGGUCUCUGGACAGUUCCUGACGCUGAGGCACGAAGGUCAGGGGAGCAAACGGGG
rnacentral:rRNA from 1 species